AAUAGAUACCCCGGUAGUCCAUGCCGUAAACGUUGGGAACUAGAUGUAGGGCCUGUUCCACGGGUUCUGUGUCGUAGCUAACGCAUUAAGUUCCCCGCCUGGGGAGUACGGCCGCAAGGCUAAAACUCAAAGGAAUUGACGGGGGCCCGCACAAGCGGCGGAGCAUGCGGAUUAAUUCGAUGCAACGCGAAGAACCUUACCAAGGCUUGACAUAUAGAAGAACGGGCGAGAGAUCGUCAACUCUUUGGACACUUCUAUACAGGUGGUGCAUGGUUGUCGUCAGCUCGUGUCGUGAGAUGUUCGGUUAAGUCCGGCAACGAGCGCAACCCUCGUCCUAUGUUGCCAGCACGUUAUGGUGGGAACUCAUGGGAUACUGCCGUGGUCAACACGGAGGAAGGUGGGGAUGACGUCAAAUCAUCAUGCCCCUUAUGUCUUGGGCUUCACGCAUGCUACAAUGGCCGAUACAAAGGGCUGCGAUACCGCGAGGUGGAGCGAAUCCCAAAAAAGUCGGUCUCAGUUCGGAUUGGGGUCUGCAACC
rnacentral:rRNA from 1 species